rnacentral:rRNA from 1 species
AUUUCCGGCCAUGCUACCCUGAACAAGCCCAAUCCCAUCUGAUCUUGGAAGCUAAGCAGGGUCGGGCCUGGUUAGUACCUGGAUGGAAGACCACUUAUGAAGACCAGGUGCUGUAGGCG